GCUGACAUAAUAUACUUGCACCCAUAGACCAUAGUACUCAUCUCUGAAAUCGCAAAAGUAAACCCGAAGGACUUUCAUUUAGAUUUAACUAUAGAUUACGAAAACGCAAGAUCGAGAUGUUGGAGAAGAUCGGAUUGCCUACAAAACCAUCGCUUCGAGGAAGCAAUUGGGUGGUUGAUGCCUCACAUUGCCAAGGAUGUACCUCCCAGUUCACCUUCAUCAAUCGCAAGCACCACUGUCGACGCUGUGGUGGCUUGUUUUGUAAUAGUUGCACCCAGCAGAGAAUGUAUCUGCGUGGGCAAGGUGAUUCGCCGGUGCGUAUUUGUGAACCUUGUAAGAAACUUGAGGAGGCAGCUCGUUUCGAGAUGCGACAUGGACACAAGAGUAGGGUCUCUAAAGGUAGUUCAAAACUGGCAGUGAAGGAUGAGGAUGAGGUUUUGAACCAGAUUUUAGGUACAGAUGGAAAGGGACUGGUAUCCAAUAAGGACUUGGGUUCCAGUAUGCAAAGAGCAACUAGCAGCGGUUCAUGUUCGAAUACUCAAGAUGGCCUGGGAGAUAUGCAUAGAAGUAUUUCUGUUGAUGACCAGAAUCCACUGCAGAAUGAUAUUGGAUCUGCUAGUCCUGAGGAAUUACGCCAAAGGGCUGUGGAAGAAAAAAAGAAAUAUAAAAUUCUGAAAGGAGAAGGGAAACCUGAAGAAGCUUUAAAAGCCUUUAAGAGAGGGAAGGAGCUUGAGAGGCAAGCUGAUGCAUUAGAGAUAUCCUUGAGAAAAAACCGUAAAAGAGUUCUGUCUUCUGGAAAUGGAGCAGAGAUCCAGAAUAAAGACAUCUUCAAAGAAUCUGGUAGAAAAAAUAAGCUACUUCCAAAAGUGGGUGCAGAAAAGGAUGAUUUCGCAGCUGAGCUGAGGGAACUAGGGUGGUCUGACAUGGACAUUCAGCAUGAAGAUAAAAAAUCAGCAAGUGUGAGUUUGGAGGGUGAACUCUCUUCUCUUCUUGGAGACAUCUCUCAGAAGACUGGUAAAAAUACAGGUACUCAUGGGAUUGACACGUCCCCAGUUAUUGCUCUUAAAAGAAAGGCACUGAUUUUAAAGCGUGAAGGGAAGCUUGCGGAGGCCAAGGAAGAACUAAAGAGAGCUAAGAUUUUAGAAAAGGAACUUGAAGAACAACAACUCUUGGCCGGGGCUGAAGAGUCUGAUGAUGAGCUAUCUGCAAUAAUUCGCAGUGUCGACAACGAUGAAGAAGAUGACUUUCCAAUUCAGUAUGAGCGGGAAGCUAAUCUUGAUCACUUUGACAUCACUGUGGGUGAUCUUGGUGUUGACAGUAAUUUUGAAGUAACAGAUGAGGAUAUGGAGGACCCAGAAAUAGCUGGUGCCUUGAAAUCAUUAGGUUGGACUGAGGAUUCUGAUCUGGCUGAUAACGUUGCUCGCCAGUCUGUUCCCGUGGACCGGGAAGCACUAUCAAGGGAAAUUCUUUCAUUAAAAAAAGAGGCCCUUAAUUACAAACGGGCAGGUAACGUUGCAGAGGCAAUGGCUCAGCUAAAAAAAGCGAUGUUACUUGAGCAAGACCUAGAAAUUAUUCACACAGGCUCAAUUUCUCAAGCUGAUGAGAAGUUAUCACAGAAAACUAAGGUGGAUGAUAAAAACACCGAAUUUACGAAAGACAUGCAUUCCAAGGUUGCACCAAAGAGUAGAUUGAUGAUUCAGAAAGAGCUUCUGGGUCUAAAAAAGAAGGCUCUUGCUUUGAGAAGGGAAGGAAGAUUUGAUGAGGCCGAGGAAGAACUGAAAAAAGGGAAGGUUCUUGAGCAUCAGCUGGAAGAGACGGACAAUGCUUCCAAAGUGCAGGCUACUGGUAAUAAGGAGUCAGAUUUAACAUUUAAGCAUUCUGUCGCAUCUGUAGAUCUUCCAGUUGGAGAAGGUGAAGAUGAUGUAACAGAUCAAGAUAUGAAUGAUCCAACAUACCUGUCAAUUUUAAGCAACUUAGGUUGGAAUGAUGAAGAUAAUGGAUCUUCGAGUCAACAAUUACAACCUUCCAACCUGAAGAGAAGUAAAGGAGAAAUCCAGAGAGAACUUCUAAAUUUGAAAAGAAAGGCCCUGGCUCUUAGACGUAAAGGGGAAACUGAAGAGGCUGAAGAAUUGCUGAAAAUGGCGAAGGUACUGGAGGCUCAAAUGGAAGAACUUGAAGCCCCAAAGGAGAAUCUGCUUGAUGCUUCGAAGAACAAAAAAUCUGGGAGUUUUGAAUCAUUGAAAAACCAUGACACACAGGAGAAUCUGGUUCAUGAGGUGGGAGUGAAUACAGGAUCAGCCCCUGUGGCAGUGGAUUCUAAUGACAACGCUGUUGAGUCUUCUCCGCUUGUUAAAAGCAAUCAUCGAUUAUUAGGAGAAGUGGGUCCCACUGGUGAAACUGAUGUUACAGGCUAUAAAGGAGCAGCUGAGGGCACUACCUUUAUUCCUCCAACAAGCCAGUCUUUGAACUCAAUGGAUUUGCUGAUAGGAAACAACUGGACUAGUUCUCAAAUAACCGCUGGAAAACCAGAAGAUAAAGGAAAUCUUGGUUCUGAGAUUUCUUCUCUUGCAAGAUCUUCAGUUCAAAUGGAUUCCUCGUCAAAAUUACAUGAAAAUCUGGGAAGCAAAAAUGAUGUUCAAAAUGAUAAAAGAGAGGUGGUUCAAGCAAAUGAGAAUCCACUUAUUCAUGAAGCAAAUUCAGUCCAUGUAUCUGCUUCUCAGAACAACCAGACUUCCCUGCAGCAAGAAGUUUUAGCUCGCAAGAGGAAGGCACUUGCUUUAAAAAGAGAAGGGAAAUUAGCUGAAGCAAGAGAGGAACUCCGGCAGGCAAAGCUAUUGGAGAAGAAACUGGAGGAUGACAGCAUCCAGCCAAAAAGCAGCCCACCUGAUGUGUCAGUAACUACAUCCAACCUUCCUUCUGUUGGACAAAAGGAGCAUGACACAUCAAAUUCAGCUCCAAAACCAUUGUCUGCCCGUGAUCGUUUUAAGUUGCAGCAGGAAUCCCUCAGCCAUAAACGCAAGGCCCUGAAGCUAAGAAGGGAAGGUCGAAUGGAUGAAGCAGAAGCUGAGUUUGAAAUGGCAAAGAAUCUUGAAGCUCAGUUGGAGGAGCUGACAGCUCAUGAUUCCAAGUCUUCUGUCAAUGAGGCAGAACCGGUGGAUGACAUUGGUGUGGAAGAUCUUCUUGAUCCUCAACUUUUGUCUGCAUUGAAAGCCAUUGGAAUAAAUGAUCCUAAUGUGGUGACACAAGGCCCAAAAAGUGAAGAGCCUAUGAAACACAGUGGUGGUAAGUCUGAGAAUUUGGGCAAAGAGAGAAUUCAAUUGGAAGAAAGACCAGAGCCUUCAAAACAUAGUGCUGGAAAGAGUGAAAGCUUUAGCCAAGAGAAAAUUCAGUUGGAAGAAAGAAUCAAGGCAGAAAAGGUGAAGGCAUUGAACUUAAAACGUUCAGGAAAACAAGCUGAGGCCUUGGAUGCUCUUCGCCGGGCAAAACUAUUUGAAAGGAAAUUGAAUUCUUUGGCAUCAAAUUGAAGAAUCAAGGAUAUAUAAUAUUAGGAAAGGAAGUCUUCCUGGUAUUGACUCUGGUUGAUACUACAGUAGGUGAGGUCAGUAAAUAUGUUACAUAAGAAGAUUGCUAGAAGGUAAAGAAUAGUAGGAUGCCUCCUUGGCCUAGUGCGGGUUUUUCCAUGUGUGUUCAUAAGAAGGGUGCUUUGCUGUUCAGGGAUGUUGUAGAUAUGGAGAUGGAAGUUAUAGUGACCAAAUGAAAGCCUUCUUUUGGACGUAGAUAUCUGUUGGAGCUAAGGAAAGAGAAGUCAACAAAAGGCAAGGUAAACCUUUAUGUGGGUAUCUGCCAUCUGCUAGAGAAAUUCCUCCAAGCAUGACCGUCGAUGGUGGUAGGUUGGCUACUAAACAUGAUGGAAAGCUUUAGGAAUCUAAGACUGAAUCGGAUUUGCAAAAUUUUGUUUCACCAGAGAUAGUGAAGUCCUUUGGAUGAAUUAAUUGGUGCAUGGUUGGUGGGAAAGAUACAUUAUACAUAAAUGGGGAAUGAUGGAGAUUAAUGAUCGGGAAAUUGCACUUGAUGAUAUGUAUUUUCUCAAUCUCAGCAAACUUGAUGAAUGGAAGGGAAUCAUACUGCCAUCAGAAUCUGAGUAGAUAGUGGCAUCAGACGGUGAAGACAAGGAUGAAGAUGACGACAAUGAUAGCAAUAGCGAUGAGAUUGAUGAUAAUGGCGACGAAGAUGCACAGGUGGCUUUUAGAAUCUUUGUGAGGAAACAUAUGAAGAUUGAUGUCAUGCGGGGUCUAAGAUGAUGUUCUUAUUUUUAAAGUGACUUGCAUGGUGUUUGGUUGCUAAGAAAAGUAGAGAAAGUGUAUAUAAAAUAGAGGCAGGCUCCAAAAAAUUUAGAGAGGAUUUUAGAAAACAAUCGAUAAUUCAU